UACGGAGGGUGCAAGCGUUAUUCGGAAUUACUGGGCGUAAAGCGAGUGUAGGCGGUUCUAUAAGUCUGAUGUGAAAGCCCUCGACUCAAUCGAGGAAGUGCAUUGGAUACUGUAGGGCUAGGGUAUAGGAGGGGAGAACGGAAUUUCUGGUGUAGAGGUAAAAUUCGUAGAUAUCAGGAGGAACAACGGUGGCGAAGGCGGUUCUCUGGACUAUAACUGACGCUAAGGCUCGAAAGCAUGGGGAGCAAACAGG
rnacentral:rRNA from 1 species